rnacentral:rRNA from 1 species
GGUAUACCUCCCACCCUUUGUUUAUUAUACCUUUGUUGCUUUGGCGGGCCCGUCCUCGGACCACCGGCUUCGGCUGGUCAGUGCCCGCCAGAGGACCUAAAACUCUGUUUGUUCAUAUUGUCUGAGUACUAUAUAAUAGUUAAAACUUUCAACAACGGAUCUCUUGGUUCUGGCAUCGAUGAAGAACGCAGCGAAAUGCGAUAAGUAAUGUGAAUUGCAGAAUUCAGUGAAUCAUCGAAUCUUUGAACGCACAUUGCGCCCCCUGGUAUUCCGGGGGGCAUGCCUGUUCGAGCGUCAUUACAACCCUCAAGCUCUGCUUGGUAUUGGGCUCUGCCGGUCCCGGCAGGCCUUAAAAUCAGUGGCGGUGCCAUUCGGCUUCAAGCGUAGUAAUUCUUCUCGCUUUGGAGACCCGGGUGCGUGCUUGCCAGCAACCCCCAAUUUUUUCAGGUUGACCUCGGAUCAGGUAGGGAUACCCGCUGAACUUAAGCAUAUCAAUAAGCGGGG